rnacentral:rRNA from 1 species
GACGAACGCUGGCGGCGUGCCUAACACAUGCAAGUCGAACGGGACUUAGCGGAAAGCGGCUUCGGUCAAUGGAAGUUAAGUUUAGUGGCGAACGGGUGAGUAACGCGUGAGAAACCUGCCUUUCAGUGGGGGACAACAGUUGGAAACGACUGCUAAUACCGCAUAAUGUAUUCGGGGGGCAUCCCCUGAAUACCAAAGCUUUAUGUGCUGAAAGAUGGUCUCGCGUCUGAUUAGCUAGAUGGCGGGGUAACGGCCCACCAUGGCGACGAUCAGUAGCCGGUCUGAGAGGAUGAACGGCCACAUUGGGACUGAGAUACGGCCCAGACUCCUACGGGAGGCAGCAGUGGGGAAUAUUGGGCAAUGGGGGAAACCCUGACCCAGCAACGCCGCGUGAAGGAAGAAGGCCUUCGGGUUGUAAACUCUUUUAGCAGGGACGAAGAACGU